AUGAAGAGAGGUUCUUACAUGGAGAGAAGAGUACCCUUGUUUGGUAGCCAAGGAUGACUUGCCUAAAAAUACCUCAAUUAGGUGUUGGAAAGUAACACCUUAUUUGGUUCAUCAGGCAGUCACUCCAUGGCUAACUUGACAGACUCUUCUUGCUCAUGCUAGAUCAUCUCUUCUACUGUUCAAUCAGGAACCCAUGCAUACUCAUAAAGCAAGAAUAUAUAGUCAUUACAUUGUUACUAACGGCAAACACAAUAGUCUAAUGUUGUGUCUACUGAAAAAUAUUAGUUUUAACUUUUUUUGCAUAGGCAUGGGAUGCCAAAAGGUUACAACUAAAGCCUUAUGUGUUUUGGAGAACUAGUGGAGGGGAACAUAAUUACAAGCUAUACAUAGGACGCAUGGUUGGUCACAUUUUGAUUUGAUGUUUGCCAGAAUAGAAUUUUCUGCAUGCUGAACAAAUAAUAAAAAUGUGUGUUUGUCGGUU